CUCUACCAUUUCUUUUCUGCUUUGUCCAUCUCUCUCUCUCUCUCUGUCACACACACUCGCGCGCACCCCCACCCCCUCCACACCCUUGCCACCCCCUACACUCAGGCCUUUGCUUUCCUUUAUGCAUUUUAUUUCCAGUGCUACCACAUAUUCCAAAUAAACUUCACCUGAUUUUCAUUGAACUGAGUGGUCUAUAUGAACGGUUACUGUACCGAAAUUCAUAUUCAACUCCAUUGCAGGACAUCCUGUGAAUCUAUGACAAAAUGUGGCAUCACGUGCCUUGUGUGUUUAUGCCUACAAUUUGGCAGCAUAACAAGAAAAACUGUGCAGCAAGCAGCCUGUUCUUAAUUGCUAGUAUGAUCAACUGCAUUGUCAUUUUUGUUUAGGCAUGGCUGAGAAGCUGUGGUAAUUUCAUUAUGUUAAGAAGCUAACCAGGUUUGCUAUAUUAAGCUCAUCAAUGAUGUGGAUCUUUAACUUGGAUGCCCCAUAGUUGAUUUUGGACUGGAGGAGCAGAUACCCUUUCCUCUUGAGAGGAGCAAAGCCCAUCUCAUGUUUGAGAGAGAACGCACAUGCCCAUUGUGCAGGGCAUUGGUGAAACCAGCAGAUCUUCGCUCGUUUGGUGAUGGUUCCACGAGCCUGUUUUUCCAGUUAUUCUAGAAUACCCUGGCAGCAAACUAAACUGAUUACCUCUACGCCAACUCUGGUCUGAAAUGAGUAGGAUGACCUCAUUUCCCUGCGUUGCCAUUAGGCCCAUGCUCUGAUGUAGCCAGAUCCACACCCAUGUUCUUGCUGGAGGUCAUGACUGGAAUUGCUACAAAAUUUGUUGAGACAGCUUUUUUGUCCAUAUUUCCUCAACCAAUCUAUAUAUGCCCUUGUUGGGAAAUUUCAACAGAACAGAUGGAGAAGUACGAUAUUAUAUAUAAGUAUAUAAUUUAUAUUACAUUGUGAAAAGUUAUUAAUAUAUGAGCAUCUUUUCAAUAUAUGCGUAAAAGUCAA